rnacentral:lncRNA from 1 species
GUCGUUCCCCGCCUUAAACUGAACCGCUCACCCACACCCCACGGUCCACCCCGCAAGUUGCUUCGUGGCCAGUAUUUUCCCCACCCAUCAGCUAAUGCCCGAUCCAACUCCCGGCACAGAGGCGGCGCCUAGGGCUUCUCCCUGUGCAAUCGGUUCCUCUGGUUGGUGCUCUCUCCCCUGCCUGAUCUCAUCUCCAUCUCUCUUCCUGCCCGAUCAACAUCUUCCUCUCGCAGCCCCCUCUUUAAUCUCGUUGUCAACAUGAUUGGAUUAGGUACCAGAGAGAUGGGAGAAUUUUGUGUUGUGAUCGGAAGGAGAUUGAAGCCUCUCCGCGGAAUCAAUCAAGCGAUGCGGCUUCCUCAAAUCAGGUAGCAGCAACGAGAGGGAAGGUGCCACUAAAAUUGAUGGGUAUUUUCUCCUCCUGUCUUCUUUUAGAUGUGAUUUGGAUUAAUUAGUGAUUUCUGAUAAUCUCCUACCCCAAGGCUAGUUGUUUCAUAAUUCGUUCUUCUUCUAGUUCUCUCUGAUACAUAAAUUCUGUAGAAUCCAUCCGGCAGAUCAAGAGUGGCUCACGACCUGCCUUCAUGACCCAGAAGCUGAGCUCACUUUCUCUCACAAUGGGACCCCAGUCUCGACGAGGAUCUGAGCCUAGUCUGCACUAGCAUCACUGCAGUUCAUCUUCUCCCACCAUCUUGCAAGUUGCAACUAUCCUGCCUGGGCCUGAAUGAGGCAUGCUCACCCUUCUCUUCUACAUGUGCUUUUCCUUGUGAAUGCAAAUCAGUUGAUGGAUUUAAGUAAAUAGUUCAUCGUUCCAUGAUUUCUUGAAUGAUGAGUAUUUUUGUACAAAUCAGAAGGAUAGUUGCAGGCCUUCAAACCGUCAAGUGUUUUACCAUGCCCACAAGGUGUUUGUGAAAAUGCAAAGGUUUUGUAUCAGAGUAAAUCGUUCAUCGUGCCAUGAUUGUUUACCACCUUUUUGUUCUAUUUCAAACUACAAUAUACAAUAGAUCAAUUCAUUGAGCUGUUACUGAGUAAAUUAUCAAUACCAAAAAGUUUCUGUUUGUGGUCAUAUUAUUCCUUAGAAAGUUAUUAUAUGAUUCUGUAAUAUUGUUUUAAGUGAUAUUACCAGGCAACUGAGCUACCAAUUGAAUCAUGAAAUUAAUAGGUAAUUUUUUCUUUAUAUUCUUAUUCAUCUGAGGACGUGUCCAAAAUCAUCUUGAAUUAAUUUUGAUUUAUGUACAUGUAAAUGCUCCUACAAUUCCUUUGUAGAUCCUCUGAACUUUGACAUUGUCUACAGAUUUGCUGAAGCCACAAAGUUCCAGAACAAGGGUUAUGAAUGUAAGCACAGUAUGUUCUUAUUUUUGCCAUGGAUGUAUCUAUGUAUAAUUAGAAGAUCCAAAAACAUCAUUAAUCUCUAGCCGCAAUUGUAGUAAUCACAUUGACUCAACUUCGGUUAGAAUAUUCCAAUGUGCAGUCACCUACUUAUGCUGUCAAACUAAACCUGUAGAGAAAACAUCUUUAGUCUAUCUGAACCAGUAGAGCAAAUAUAAUCUAAUCUCUGCUGUUGUCAUCCACAUAAAGUGGAACUCUGCUUUCCACUAUUCGCCAAAAUUAUUUCUGGUUUUAUUAGUUUUGAAAGUAGACAUGUAUAAUGGAUUAGUCACUGGACCUUAUAGGAAACUAGUUAAAUUUUAGUGGUUUCAAUCUAUUGAACUACUAUCAUUACUUUGUCGUUGAAUAGUUACAAUCAAUUAUCAUCAUACACUAUAUUAUUUAUUGAUUAUUGAGUAUAUUGCCACUACAGGUCCAAAGAGUCGGUUGAAUAUUUCUCUUGUUCGGAUAUCACCAGAAGCAUGAUGAGACAACGGGAAAGGCCAAAAGUAGCAGCUAGAAUUUAUAUUUUAUAGGUGCAUGUAUAUGUGUUGCCGAGGCAUGACAAUAUACAAGAAAGUUCUGUAAUAUACUGGUAUACUGAAAAGGAUGAAAUGAAUUGGAAUAUAUAUUGGUGCUGUCUCUCACU